rnacentral:lncRNA from 1 species
AUGAAGAAUUAUGUGUUAACAUCUAUACUCUCGAGUUGCUUUUGUAACUCAGUGACAUAGUUGCAAGUAUCAUAUACGUUGCAGUACUAUUAUCAUCAUUGCGUUUACUAUAGUAGCCACUUCUUCCUUAAUCGAGUCAUCACCAGGUGUCUCUGGAAGGGGCUACUCAAGGACGUGACCAACUUUCUCAUGCAUAAGAACAAUUUUCAAAUUGCAGUGUCAAUUAAGAAAAUAUAGUUUGGUUGUUGGCAUCUAGU